GACAGAGGGUGCGAGCGUUAAUCGGAAUUACUGGGCGUAAAGGGUGUGUAGGCGGUUAAAUAAGUUAGAUGUGAAAGCCCUGGGCUUAACCUAGGAAUAGCAUUUAAUACUGUUUGACUGGAGUGCAGUAGAGGGGAGUGGAAGUUCCGGAGUAGCGGUGAAAUGCGUAGAUAUCGGAAGGAACACCAGUGGCGAAGGCGACUCUCUGGACUGUUACUGACGCUGAGACACGAAAGCGUGGGGAGCAAACAGG
rnacentral:rRNA from 1 species